UGAACGCUGGCGGCAGGCCUAACACAUGCAAGUCGAGCGGUAGAGAGAAGCUUGCUUCUCUUGAGAGCGGCGGACGGGUGAGUAAUGCCUAGGAAUCUGCCUGGUAGUGGGGGAUAACGUUCGGAAACGGACGCUAAUACCGCAUACGUCCUACGGGAGAAAGCAGGGGACCUUCGGGCCUUGCGCUAUCAGAUGAGCCUAGGUCGGAUUAGCUAGUUGGUGAGGUAAUGGCUCACCAAGGCGACGAUCCGUAACUGGUCUGAGAGGAUGAUCAGUCACACUGGAACUGAGACACGGUCCAGACUCCUACGGGAGGCAGCAGUGGGGAAUAUUGGACAAUGGGCGAAAGCCUGAUCCAGCCAUGCCGCGUGUGUGAAGAAGGUCUUCGGAUUGUAAAGCACUUUAAGUUGGGAGGAAGGGCAGUUACCUAAUACGUGAUUGUUUUGACGUUACCGACAGAAUAAGCACCGGCUAACUCUGUGCCAGCAGCCGCGGUAAUACAGAGGGUGCAAGCGUUAAUCGGAAUUACUGGGCGUAAGCGCGCGUAGGUGG
rnacentral:rRNA from 1 species